UACAGAGGUCUCAAGCGUUGUUCGGAUUCAUUGGGCGUAAAGGGUGCGUAGGUGGCGCCGUAAGUCAGGUGUGAAAUUUCGGAGCUUAACUCCGAAACUGCAUUUGAUACUGCGGUGCUUGAGGACUGGAGAGGAGACUGGAAUUCCUGGUGUAGCGGUGAAAUGCGCAGAUAUCAGGAGGAACACCGGUGGCGAAGGCGGGUCUCUGGGCGAACAACGUGACGCUGAGGAGCGAAAGCGUGGGGAGCGAACAGG
rnacentral:rRNA from 1 species